UGGGCGUAAAGCGCGUGUAGGCGGUUUGUUAAGUCUGAUGUGAAAGCCCUGGGCUCAACCUGGGAAGUGCAUUGGAAACUGGGAAACUUGAAUACGGGAGAGGGUAGUGGAAUUCCUGGUGUAGGAGUGAAAUCCGUAGAUAUCAGGAGGAGCACCGGUGGCGAAGGCGGCUACCUGGACCGAUAUUGACGCUGAGACGCGAAAGCGUGGGGAGCAAACAGGAUUAGAUACCCUGGUAGUCCACGCCGUAAACGAUGAGUACUAGGUGUUGCGGG
rnacentral:rRNA from 1 species